UGCGUAGGUGGUCGGGUAAGUCUGAUGUGAAAUCUCUGGGCUCAACCCAGAAAUGGCAUUGGAUACUAUUCGGCUGGAGGGUUGGGAGGGGGGGACGUGGAAUUCUCGGUGUAGCAGUGAAAUGCGUAGAUAUCGAGAGGAACACCAGUGGCGAAGGCGAGUCCCUGGACAACUCCUGACACUAAGGCACGAAAGCUAGGGAGCAAACA
rnacentral:rRNA from 1 species